AGCGAACGUUAGCGGCGCGCCUAACACAUGCAAGUCGCACGAGAAAGGGGGCAACCCCCGGUACAGUGGCGCACGGGUGAGUAACACGUAGAUGACCUUCCCUGGAGUGGUGGAUAACCUGCCGAAAGGCGGGCUAAUACAGCAUGGGACCACAUGGUUUUGACCGAGUGGUGAAAGCGGGCCUCUGUACACAAGCUCGCGCUCUGGGAUGGGUCUGCGGCCCAUCAGCGAGUUGGUGAGGUAACGGCUCACCAAGGCAACGACGGGUAGCUGGUCUGAGAGGAUGACCAGCCACACUGGAACUGAGACACGGUCCAGACUCCUACGGGAGGCAGCAGUGGGGAAUCUUGCGCAAUGGGCGAAAGCCUGACGCAGCGACGCCGCGUGGGUGAUGAAGGCCCUCGGGUUGUAAAGCCCUGUGGGGAGGAACGAACCGCUCGGGGGUGAAUACCCUCCGGGCUUGACGGUACCUCCUUAGCAAGCAUCGGCUAACUCUGUGCCAGCCGCCGCAGUAAUAC
rnacentral:rRNA from 1 species